CUACUUACAAUCUUAACAGCAAGGACUGUGAUCUGAUCCAGGAGCAUUUGAAUUCUAAAUGAAGGCUGGUGUAUGGUCAUAAGGACAAUGCUUCCUCCUCGAGCUAUGUCUUUAACCUUUUCUACAACACUGUAAGCACUUGUAGAGUCAAGGCCUGAGGUAGGUUCGUCAAGAAACAGAAGUGAUGGCUUAUGGAUGAUAUCUAUGCCAAUAGAUACCCUUCGUCGUUCCCCUCCUGACACUCCUCUCCUUCCUUCGUCACCAAUAUAUGUAUGUGUAGCACUCUGAACGGGGAUGAAGUCAUUAACCUGCCAUUUUAUGUCUGUAAAUGAGUGAGAGACGAUGGAUUAUAUAUACCUGUAAGCCCAGUUGGUCAAGUAGUUCAUACACCCUCUUCUUCUUUUCUGCCCUGGAAAUGGAAGGAGGAAGCCUAACUUCAGCUGCAAACAUAAAUGUUUCAAAAACUGUCAACAUAGGGAAGAGCUGGUCAUCUUGCAUCACAUAUGAUGACACCAUUUUCAUGUAGCUUGUAGUAAUCUGCACCAUAAUAUAGCAUUAUUAAGUUAAAGAGAAUAGAAAGAGAGAAUAUCUCCCUUUUUUUGGUGAAAAGUAAAACAUAUAUCUGAUUUGGAUCCAUAAAUAAACAAAGUAGAGGAGCUCAGUUUUACUGGUUUUCCAUCAAUUCUAACUGAUCCUUCUAGACUCCCUCUAGCAAUUCUCCCUGCCAAUGCAUCAAGAAAGGUGGAUUUUCCAGCACCACUAGGCCCCAUGACUGCCAUAAUUUCACCUUUUAUUGCUUGGCCAGAGAUGUCAUGGAGAAGAUAUGUUUCUUUGUUGAUCCAUACUCCAUCCUUUUUCUGCUUUUUUAUGAUACUAUACGAGAGGUUACUGAAUUCAAGGCCAUAGCCAGGAGUGGACUUCUGGGGUCCCUGUUGGUUCACAUUUCUUCCUCUUCCUGGUUUGUCCGAAUCCAUUAGAGUCUCUAGGCUUUUAUUUCUACGCGUCCUUUCUGGCCUCGCCAUUGCAGUGAACUUCAGCAACCACUUCUGCCCUUCUUUGCUGCUGGUGUUUAAGGGAGGGCUUGCUGGUGUUAAAGCGCUAAAGUUGAGCUGUGGAUUGUUUAAAUAAAAAGGUUAUAAGGUAUGAAAUACGGACAAGAGGUGACGGUGGAAAUGAAAGCAUUGGAAUGAAAUGCAAUGGAAGAUUGUGACUCGAGAAUAAUGAGGAAGACAACAGAAACAAAUUGUCAGACGGCAAACUUUGGAUUGGUGG
rnacentral:sRNA from 1 species